rnacentral:miRNA from 1 species
CAGCUUACCUGCUACUGCCCU